UACAGAGGGUGCAAGCGUUGUUCGGAAUUAUUGGGCGUAAAGAGCGUGUAGGCGGCCAGGUAGGUCAGCUGUGAAAACUCGAGGCUCAACCUCGAGACGCCGGUUGAAACCAUCUGGCUAGAGUCCGGAAGAGGAGAGUGGAAUUCCUGGUGUAGCGGUGAAAUGCGCAGAUAUCUGGAGGAACAUCAGUGGCGAAGGCGGCUUCCUGGUCCAACACUGACACUGAGGUGCGAAAGCGUGGGGAGCAAACAGG
rnacentral:rRNA from 1 species